GAUCCUGGCUCAGAUUGAACGCUGGCGGCAGGCCUAACACAUGCAAGUCGAACGGUAACAGGAAGAAGCUUGCUUCUUUGCUGACGAGUGGCGGACGGGUGAGUAAUGUCUGGGAAACUGCCUGAUGGAGGGGGAUAACUACUGGAAACGGUAGCUAAUACCGCAUAACGUCGCAAGACCAAGGAGGGGGGACCUUCGGGCCGUCUUGCCAUCGGAUGUGCCCAGAUGGGAGUUAGCUAGUAGGUGGGUAACGG
rnacentral:rRNA from 1 species